CGUCAUAUGGUGUAAUGGUUAGCACUCUGGACUCUGAAUCCAGCGAUCCGAGUUCAAAUCUCGGUAGGACCU
rnacentral:tRNA from 1 species